GAUGAACGCUGGCGGCGUGCCUAAUACAUGCAAGUCGAGCGAACAGACGAGGAGCUUGCUCCUCUGACGUUAGCGGCGGACGGGUGAGUAACACGUGGAUAACCUACCUAUAAGACUGGGAUAACUUCGGGAAACCGGAGCUAAUACCGGAUAACAUGUUGAACCGCAUGGUUCAACAGUGAAAGACGGUCUUGCUGUCACUUAUAGAUGGAUCCGCGCCGCAUUAGCUAGUUGGUAAGGUAACGGCUUACCAAGGCAACGAUGCGUAGCCGACCUGAGAGGGUGAUCGGCCACACUGGAACUGAGACACGGUCCAGACUCCUACGGGAGGCAGCAGUAGGGUAUCUUCCGCAAUGGGCGAAAGCCUGACGGAGCAACGCCGCGUGAGUGAAGAAGGUCUUCGGAUCGUAAAACUCUGUUAUUAGGGAAGAACAAAUGUGUAAGUAACUAUGCACGUCUUGACGGUACCUAAUCAGAAAGCCACGGCUAACUACGUG
rnacentral:rRNA from 1 species